rnacentral:snRNA from 1 species
UUGCUUUGGCAGCACAUACAUUCAAAUUACAGAGAUUAGCAAGGUCCUUGCACAAGGAUGACAUGCAAAUCUGUGAAGCGUUCCACAUAUUU